rnacentral:rRNA from 1 species
ACGUAGGGUGCAAGCGUUAAUCGGAAUUACUGGGCGUAAAGCGUGCGCAGGCGGCUCGGAAAGAAAGAUGUGAAAUCCCAGGGCUUAACCUGGGAACUGCAUUUGUGACUGCAAGGCUAGAGUACGGCAGAGGUGGAUGGAAUUCCGCGUGUAGCAGUGAAAUGCGUAGAUAUGCGGAGGAACACCGAUGGCGAAGGCAAUCCCCUGGGC